GACGAACGCUGGCGGCGUGCUUAACACAUGCAAGUCGAACGAUGAAGCCCAGCGUGCUGGGUGGAUUAGUGGCGAACGGGUGAGUAACACGUGGGCAACCUGCCCCAAACUCUGGGAUAACCCCUCGCAAGAGGAGCUAAUACCGGUUACGAACUGGACAGACAUCUGUACCAGUUGGAAAGCUUUUCGGUUUGGGAUGGGCCCGCGGCUUAUCAGCUUGUUGGUGAGGGAACUGCACACCAAGGCUACGACGGGUAACCGGCCUAGGAGGGCGACCGGUCACACGGGGACUAAGACACGGCCCGGACUCCUACGGGAGGCAGCAGUGGGGAAUAUUGCGCAAUGGGCGAGAGCCUGACGCAGCGACGCCGCGUGAGGGAUGAAGGUCUUCGGAUCGUAAACCUCUUUCAGUAGGGACGAAGCGAAAGUGACGGUACCUAAAGAAGAAGCACCGGCUAACUACGUGCCAGCAGCCGCCGUAA
rnacentral:rRNA from 1 species